rnacentral:rRNA from 1 species
AACUUUUAGUUCUUCAGUGUUGUCCCGUCCUCUCGUAGGACGUUGUGACGAUUCUAAGGACUUUCCUAGUGGAAACCGUCUCUGCCCUUUAUUGGGUUGGUUUCGUUAUCCACUUCUUUUACUGUGAGAAAAACAAAGUGCUCAAAGCAGGCUUUACAGCUUGAAUGCGUUAGCAUGGAAUAAUAAGAUAGGACUUUGCUUCUAUUUUGUUGGCUCUGAGAAACAAAGUAAUGAUUGAUAGGGAUAGUUGGGGGUGCUCGUAUUUAACGGUCAGCGGUGAAAUGCAUGGACCCGUAAAAGACGAACUUAUGCGAAAGCAUU